CUAGAGGCGAAAUAAAAACUAUCACUUGAUGCCUCAUAGAGUUUUGACACGUGACGCUGGCACAGAGUGGGACACUUCAAAAACGGAUUUAAAACAUAGACAACAAAACGGUUUCAUGGGAGAUUGUGACGGCUGAAUCCGGGGAUUGAAGAAACGCACACACCUCAGUUGCUGCCAGUAGGUGAAGUAGGUGAGUAAAUGGUGACCGGGGAAUGUAAAGAAGGAGAUGGAUAAUGGAUUGGAGAUUCUCAGGAGUAGCAGAGGAAAUUAAUUAGGAACACUGGGAUCAGGAAACGCUGGAGGUAAGUAACACAUGUAAGGUCCUUUCAGGUAGAGAGUCUGUAGUCUGUAAUGAGACCAUACAAUAGCUCUGUCCCAAAUUCAGGGGCUGCGUUCUCCGGAGAUCGCAUUUAAAGGCUGCAUAAGUCAUUGAGUCGGUCUCAUUUAAGAAAUUAACCAUGAUAAAAUUGACUUUCAUUCAUCCUGAGGUGUAAAAUACUGUAAUUUCUUUAUUACUUUGAAAUCUAACAAAUGCCUUCAAAUGUGAACUUCGGAGAACGCAGCCCCUGAAUUGGGACACGGCUAAUGAAUGCAGCUGAGGUGUGUGCUCAAAUACAGUAGCUGUGUCUCAUUUCAAAGGCUGCAUCCUCCGGAUGUCGCAUUUGAAGAUUGCAUAUGUCAUUGAGGCUGUAUCAUUUCAGAAAAGUAAGUAGGACUCAUGAGGUGUAUCCUUCGCUGCUGCAGAUAGCCCACAAUUCUUUGCGUCACUGUUAACCACCGUCAUUUAUUUGAAAAAUUAAAAAAAAAAAAAAAUAGCGGCUGCGGCAGAUGUACAUGUACAGUACAAGUGAAGAUGUGGUGUUUAAAUGUAAGUAGUUUCAAGCUUGUUUUUGUUUUAAACUUGUUCUUCUUAAUAUCCUCCUCCUUUGUCUCUGUAACAGAUAUAUGUUGUACAUACACCACAGCUCCUCAAACAUUACCCAAAAUAAAACAAGUGAAUACAUUUUCUUUUCAAAUUACUUUCCAAAUGUAUAAAUAAUUUUCAUUCAACUGUUGUGAGAGCGCAAUGACGCGGCCGUGAACGUGUUGGCAUAGCAACGUGAUACUUCCUGUUUCCUUUCCUGCCUGUUUGUCCUACAAAGGACGUCUCGUUUAAUUCUGGUUAAGGACACUCCGUAUACCACAUCCUUCACAGGAUGUGUCCUCGGGAGGAUUCAGCCUUCGACAUUAAAUGAAAUGAGACACAGCUAGUGACCGAUGGUGGUGCUGAUAGGGAACAGGUGUUAGUAAUUAGUACUCUGGGGAUGCUUUGCUGAAGUGAAGGUUGGCUUAAAGUCCCCCUGUGGUGAAAAUCAAGUUUUUAAUGUUGUUCAUGUGUCUAUCUGGUGCUUUUAACAUGCUUAAAGACAAACCAUGGGCAAAUUCCUAAGUCAACACCAUUGCUGUGUAUUUUCUCUUUAAAACUGCAGUAAACCAAAGACAGUCUCAAACCCGCGGUUUGAAAUUGCUGGUGUUUCUGACGUCACAAACUACCUUGUAACCAAUCACGUCAAUGUGCUGGCGGGCUUUAGCAUAUCAUUAACUGACCUCGUAAGGGAGUCUCAAAAGAAGGUUAUUCUGGUAUAUUUUUCUGUUGAUAUGAAAAAUCAGUUAAAUUUAGCAAUAUGGCGGGUGUAUGAUGUAUCUUACGAUGUUAUGAUGAACUAUAUGCCUUUCUCCACUGACAUUCUGAGCUGUUCAAAGCAUUUCUAAGGAUACUGAUUAGAAGGCAGCUGUCUCACUCGUGAAUGUGAACAUGGUUUGCGUAACAUUAGGAACACAUUAUUAGCUGUUUGAUAACGUAGUCAAGCAAAACGCUAAUCAUAUUAAUUACCAUUAUGUGUCCAAUGUUGCAAAAAGCGAUACCAUUGUGCAGCGUUUACCUCAGUAAGUUGACAGAGUGGAUUUCGUCUAAGUUCGUGCGAGUGAGUGGAGGCGGGGCUAAUUACCAUAUUCAUAGAUCCGUGUAUAUUAAAUGAGGCAAGGGUGUAGAGUUACAUUCAAGCUAUUUUAAGGCAUUAAGAUUUUUUUUUUUUUUCACAGGAAAAAAAAAACUUUUAAAUAUGUAAUUUUGGUGACCAAAGAUGAGUUUUAAGGGAUAAAAUUAUUGACUACAGGGGGACAUUUUCUUUUUAAAUUGGAACUACAGGAAACUCUUAAAUAUUUGAGUAUUUUGCCUUUCCUUCAAAUGAAUAUUUAAGUCGUUCAAAGCAAAUCCUUCUAAAAUGAAACACAUUCACAUUCAAGCAUGCACUGCAUUUAAUUGUGUUCCUUUGUCAUAUUUCAUCAGGUCUUUCAGUUAAAAUGCUACAGUAGGUAAGAUGAGAGAUUACAUCCAAGUAAUCAGAUUCAAUCAUCCGUUUACAGUUUAAAACAUUUAUUUUUGUAUAUUAUGCAUUGUACCAUAUAUAUAUUUUGUUUUAUCUGUAUGCAGUAUUCUGUGUACUAUACAUUAGUCUGCAAUUAUAAAGACAACUAACUGAAAAUAGCAAAACCAUUCUCAUUUUUUUCCACUGACAUUGAUGUUUUACAUCACUUUGGUACUAUUUUCACAAGCAAGUGGUAAUAUUUUAAAACUUAAUCACACCACAACAGAUAAUCAGAUAUGCAAUUUGAUUUGAGCAUAUUUAUGUCAAUUAUGUUAGUACAAAAUCACAAAGUAUCCUUUACACUGCAGAAAAUAAGUGGUUCAUCUAUAUUACUUUUCAUUCACACUAACUGUCUUUAAUGUCUACAGUAAUUCUAUUAAACAUUUUAUUUGCAUCUCUUCUCUUCUCGUUCAGUUUAAUAAUUUGUCCAUCAUUUAAUCCAACUGAUCUUAAAGGUUAAUCGAUCAAUCAAUCAUUUGGUACAUCGAUAGUUUUUUUAUAGAUACAGCUUCAAUAGAUGUAGGUAUGUGUAACCAACAGAUUACAGUUAUCAAUUUUGCUUUUUAAAGUAAGCCAUGUGAGGAACACUGCAGCUGAAUUUUUAUUGUACUUAAGUACAAAAUUAAAAAAAUUUAGUAAUAUUUUUUCUUUGAUUCAAGGAUAUUGUGACUUGAUUGUUUUUCAUCAAUACUGUAAUAUUCUCUAAUAUUCUCUCUGCUAGUUCUUUUACAAUGAUGUAUUUAUGUGUAGUACCAUUAUGAAAUAUCUAUCACAUAUAAUGCACAACAAUAUUAAAUGAUUGUACAAACAACUAUCAGUAUCUUGUGUGUGGGUGAUAUGAAUUAGAGGUUUUCUUGAUUGCGAGCACACUGUAACUGAUUCAGUUGGCACAAUUUCCCAAACCAUUCAUUCAGUUCUCAAAACAAAGACACAUUUCUCCAGACGUUUAACACAUUUUUUACAUGCCCUGCAUUUUUGCAGAACUGAGAGACAACUUGCUAAGGGAGGUAGAGAAAGUCCUUUGUCAGAAUUUCAAGAAACUGCUAUAGUACUGUAUUCUGUCAUGAAAUUUGGCAGAAGGUGCAGAGGAUGCUGAAUUUAUUUAUUCAUGUAUUUUUUACUGUGCUGUAAUUCACAGUAUAUGGUGUUGUGUUGCAUACCGAGUUUAUAUUCAAUUCUUUUGCAUUUUAAAUUUUCUUCUCCAGUGCUUGUCAUAUACUGUAAGAUCACUUUACAGUAGUGUAAUGAAAUUUAUUUUUUCCCAAAGCUCAUUGCUGUAUUUUACUGUAUCUGCACUCUUUCAUUUAUGUUGUAUAGUGUAAUAGACACUGAGGUGUAAAAUAAUGACUUAUUGUGUAUUUGUUAGGUUUUGUGUGUCAUUUGAGGCCAAAGUUUGAUUCUAUUAUGUUUUUUGAUUCUAAUAUAUUUUUGUCUAAAAUAUUUGAUUUUGACGUGACAGUUUGAGGUUUAUAUAAGUUGGUGUAUAGGUCUGAGUUUGUGUUUAUAGUCGUGAGAAAAUGGUGAAUUGUUUCAUGAACUGUUAGCAAUUGCGAAAAACAGUAAUGUUCUUAUGGUAUUUUAUGAUGAUAAACAAAUGAUUCUGCAAGUGUAAGGCCUCUUUAAAGAAAUGAAUGCGCAAUGCAAUGUUGUGAACAUUAGACAGCCUGUUACAGCUGAAGACUGUUUUGAGUUUUAUGUCUAGAGCUUUGAAAUCUCACAUCAAGAUUCUGAAAUUAGUGCCAAAGUGAUGGUAAAAACUGAAAUCAGACAUGUAUCAGAUGGAGAGAGACAGAUGGCAGAUAACUGUUAUAUAAAAUACAGGCAUUGUACAAUACAGCCAUGUAAUAAUGUAAACAAUGGCCUUACCAUGGUAGAGACUGCCAAAUUACUGUAGCUCUAAAAAGAUUCACUAUAGUAUACAUUCAUAUCAAAUAUCAAAUGUUCUUAUUACGUGUUACAAUGAUCUUAGUAAAGAAAAUAUGUACAACUGUAAUGAAAGCAUGAGAUCAGGAUUUGAAAGUAUGACUAGCGGUGUUGCAGGUAAGAGGCCUGUUAUAUUUUAUAAUAGAAAGUACUCUAUUAAGACAUCAAGGAUACUUGAGGCAAAACAUGCAGUAUGAAACAUACACAUAAAUCAAUUCGUAAAAAAAAAAGAAAGAAAGAAAGAAAGAAAAUUUAAACCUACAAAAAAAAGGAAACUAUCAUUACAAUAUAUCGAUAUUGAUUGAAUGGAACUUGAACCAUAUAAAUAAUCAAGAACAUUCAAGUAUAAAUUUAGAGGUCUACUUAACUGUCAAAUCUUAAAAAAUCUUUGCUCGUAUAUUUGGAGGACUAGAACUUAUCAACUUGAAUAGCCAGAUAACUUUUGAGGGUACAAAUAAUUC